rnacentral:sRNA from 1 species
CUUGGCAUGUUCUCAGCAGAAAACACCUUCUCUAUAUAUCUCCUUUUACCUGUUUCCUGUAAAAUGGGAAGGAAUAAUGAGGGACUACUUUAUUAUCAGUUAAACUAGAUUUAGGCCGGGUGUGGUGACUCAGUCCUGUAAUUUCAGCCGUUUGGGAGGCCAGGGUGUGAGGAUCAUUUGAGCUCAGGAGUUCAAGACCAGCCUGGGCAACAUAGUGAGACCUCAUCUCUACAAAAAAAUUAGCCAUGUGCCUUUGGUCCCAGCUAUACAGGAAGCUGAGGCAGGGAUAUCGUUUGAGCCCAGACCCUGUUUGCGCCACACUGCAGUCCAGCCUGGGGGACAGAGCAAGACUCUGUCUAAAAAAAACUAGAUUUAAAAUGAAAAAUCCAGAAGAAUGCUCAGUGUUACUAAAAUCUGUGAGUUUAUAGAUAUCUUCUAGUUUAUUUAAUAAAAACUAUUUUAUCGUAACAACUAAUGUAUGGAUUUUUUUUAUUAGAUGGAAACAAUAUGAAGCAUAUGUACAAGCUUUGGAGGGCAAGUACACAGAUCUUAACUCUAAUGAUGUAACUGGCCUAAGAGAGUCUG